rnacentral:rRNA from 1 species
AUUGAACGCUGGCGGCAGGCCUAACACAUGCAAGUCGAACGAGUGGCGGACGGGUGAGUAAUGUCUGGGAAACUGCCCGAUGGAGGGGGAUAACUACUGGAAACGGUAGCUAAUACCGCAUACCAUCGGAUGUGCCCAGAUGGGAUUAGCUAGUAGGUGGGGUACCGGCUCACCUAGGCGACCAUCCCUAGCUGGUCUGAGAGGAUGACCAGCCACAGUGCAACUGAGACAGGGUCCAGACUCCGACGGUAGGCAGCGGAGGGGAAUAUUGCACAAUGGGAGCAAGCCUUAUGCAGCCAUGCCGCGUGUAUGAAGAAGGCAUUGGGGUUGUAAAGAACUUUCAGCGAGGAGGCGGUACUCGAAGAAGAAGCACCGGCUCACUCCGUGCCAGCAGCCGCGGGAAUAC